GGCGGUAUAGCUCAGUUGGCUAGAGCAACCGGUUCAUACCCGGUAGGUCGUAAGUUCAAGUCUCACUGCCGCUACCA
rnacentral:tRNA from 1 species